UAAGCAUAUCAAUAAGCGGAGGAAAAGAAACUAACAAGGAUUCCCCUAGUAACUGCGAGUGAAGCGGGAAAAGCUCAAAUUUAAAAUCUGGUGGUCUCUGGCCACCCGAGUUGUAGUCUGGAGAAGCGUCUUCUGUGCUUGGACCGUGUACAAGUCUCCUGGAAUGGAGCGUCAUAGAGGGUGAGAAUCCCGUCUUUGACACGGAUGGCCAGUGCUCUGUGAUACGCUCUCGAAGAGUCGAGUUGUUUGGGAAUGCAGCUCAAAAUGGGUGGUGAAUUCCAUCUAAAGCUAAAUAUUGGCGAGAGACCGAUAGCGAACAAGUACCGUGAGGGAAAGAUGAAAAGCACUUUGGAAAGAGAGUUAAACAGUACGUGAAAUUGUUGAAAGGGAAACGCUUGAAGUCAGUCAUGUCUGCCAGAACUCAGCCUUGCAACCUUGCUUGGUGUACUUUCUGGUGGUCAGGCCAGCAUCAAUUUUGAUCAUCGGAUAAAGUUGAGGGAAAUGUGGCACCUUYGGGUGUGUUAUAGUCCCUUGUCACAUGUGAUGGUUGGGAUUGAGGAACUCAGCAUGCCCUUGUGGGCUGGGGCUUUGCCCCCAUGUCCAUGCUUAGGAUGCUGGCAUAAUGGCUUUAAGCGACCCGUCUUGAAACACGGACCAAGGAGUCUAACAUGC
rnacentral:rRNA from 1 species